GUGUAGUAUGAAAGGAGAAAAGGUUAGCACUCCCCUUGAGAAGAAUGGAAGAUGUCUUAGUGGCCUUUACAACACAUAUUAUAGUUAAAGCAUUGCCACCUACCUAAUGGCAUCUAACCAAGUUUUAGA